UGCAGCGACGCCGCGUGAGGGAUGACGGCCUUCGGGUUGUAAACCUCUUUCAGCAGGGAAGAAGCGAGAGUGACGGUACCUGCAGAAGAAGCGCCGGCUAACUACGUGCCAGCAGCCGCGGUAAUACGUAGGGCGCAAGCGUUGUCCGGAAUUAUUGGGCGUAAAGAGCUCGUAGGCGGCUUGUCGCGUCGGAUGUGAAAGCCCGGGGCUUAACCCCGGGUCUGCAUUCGAUACGGGCAGGCUAGAGUUCGGUAGGGGAGAUCGGAAUUCCUGGUGUAGCGGUGAAAUGCGCAGAUAUCAGGAGGAACACCGGUGGCGAAGGCGGAUCUCUGGGCCGAUACUGACGCUGAGGAGCGAAAGCGUGGGGAGCGAACAGGAUUAGAUACCCUGGUAGUCCACGCCGUAAACGUUGGGAACUAGGUGUGGGCGACAUUCCACGUCGUCCGUGCCGCAGCUAACGCAUUAAGUUCCCCGCCUGGGGAGUACGGCCGCAAGGCUAAAACUCAAAGGAAUUGACGGGGGCCCGCACAAGCAGCGGAGCAUGUGGCUUAAUUCGACGCAACGCGAAGAACCUUACCAAGGCUUGACAUACACCGGAACGUCUGGAGACAGGCGCCCCCUUGUGGUCGGUG
rnacentral:rRNA from 1 species